CAGUAGCAGGCAUACUGUCUAGGGGACGGCUGCUCUGCUUUUGCACCCUGCUCUAAGAGGAGGAGGUGGAUGUGGAGUAGGAGGUUGAGGAGGCAGUGACCGUGGCGGCGGCGACGCAUUCGGAUGUCUGCCCUAUCAACUUUCGAUGUUACUUUCUGCGCCUACCAUGGUGACAACGGGUAACGGGGAAUCAGGGUUCGAUUCCGGAGGGGGAGCCUGAGAAACGGCUACCACAUCCAAGGAAGGCAGCAGGCGCGCAAAUUACCCACUCCCGACACGGGGAGGUAGUGA